GCAUUUGUAUGUUGCCUCACCUUCAGAACUUCACUUAUUCCUUUAACUUCUUCACCGGUGAGCCUCCCGCAUGUCUCGCAUUGCCGGCGUUUGAUGACAGGGUAAACUGCUUACCGGCGAGGCCUCUGCAGAGGCCUCCGGCGCAAUGUAAGUCGUUCUUGUCUAAACCUGUGGACUGUAACUCCUUUAAGUGUAAACAUUUUGUUCCUUCACCUCCAUCACCUUCACCAUUUCCUUCACCUACAGCACCGGUAACACCUUCUCCAUCACCUUCUACGCCUUCACCAUUUCCUUCACCUACAACACCGGUAACACCACCUUCACCCUCACAUUCCCCUCCAUCACCUUCUACGCCUUCACCUACAACACCGGUUACACCUUCUCCCUCACAUUCACCUCCAUCACCUGCUACACCUUCACCAUUUCCUUCACCUACAACACCGGUAACACCUUCACCCUCACAUUCCCCUCCAUCACCUGCUACACCUUCACCAUUUCCUUCACCUACAACACCGGUAACACCUUCACCCUCACAUUCCCCUCCGUCACCUGCUACACCUACAACACCGGUAACACCUUCACCUUCACAUUCCCCUCCGUCACCUGCUACACCUUCACCAUUUCCUUCACCUACAACACCGGUAACACCUUCACCUUCACAUUCCCCUCCGUCACCUGCUACACCUUCACCAUUUCCUUCACCUACAACUCCUGUAACACCUUCACCUCCAUCGCCUUCUACUCCUUCACCCUUUCCUUCACCUACGACACCUGUGACACCUUCACCUGUUCAUAGUCCUCCUUCUCCAGUGUAUUUGCCACCGCCACAUUCUUCCCCUACACCACCUGCUCAUAAUUACGGCUCUCCGCCACCCCAUCACUCACCCGCUCAACCUGUUUAUCCUUAUUUAUCACCGCCACCUCCUCCCUCUGUCCAUUCUUCACCUCCACCACCACCACCACCACCUUGUAUAGAACUUCCUCCACCCCCUCCCCAAUCUACACCUUCUCCCACACCUUACCUGCCACCACCAUCCCCAUCUCCUCCCCCGCCACCGCCACCGGUAUACCAUUCUCCACCGCCGGCAUCACCGCCUCCGUGCGAAACUCCACCUUCAGUUUCUCCGCCUCCACCACCUGCCCCAGUAUACGAAGGGCCAUUACCACCUAUCGUUGGACUCCCAUACGCGUCGCCUCCACCACCACCCUUUUAUUGAUUCUUUUGACCGACACGCUUUUAUUAUUAAUUGCGUCCCUUUCUUCUCUAAUACCCUCCUCCGAUGGAAGGAAUGUUACGCG
rnacentral:lncRNA from 1 species